UUAAGUCGUGUUCUUUUAACCCAUAGGCAACGCGGUGAAAUACGAUGCUGCCAACAACGAGGAGGACGAGGGGGAACAAUUUGAUUUUGACAGCGGAGAUGAGAUUCCAGAAGCAGACCGACAGGCUGCGGGCGCCCCCGCGGCCAGUAAUGUGGGCGCGGAUGCCACCUCAGGCUCAGGAGGUGAAGUUGGGAUGGGAACAGACACGGCCGCCCCGGUGGAACCCACCACCCUUGAGGUCCCAACGAGAGUCAACCCCUACUCCGUCAUUGACAUCACGCCCUUCCAGGAGGAGCAGCCCCCGCCCCCAGACCCAGAUGCUGAGGACGAUGGCGCGAGCCAGCCUGUGGCCAGCGGGUACUCGGUGCCCGUGCCCUGUGGCUACGCCGUGCCCUGCAACUUGCCGCUGCUCCUGCCAGCCUACUCCAGCCCUGUCGUCGUCCGUGCCGCGUCCCUGGACGAGGAAGAAACACAGGAAGUAGAAGACAGCCAGGUUAAUUCCUUAAGUUCUGAGGAUCCAACGAACAGCGACGACCGGGUGCAUAAGGAGGACAGUGCGCUCGCCCGCUGGGUUGCGGACCCAGCCAACACCGCGUGGAUGGAGAGUAGG
rnacentral:lncRNA from 1 species